rnacentral:rRNA from 1 species
UCCCCUAUGGGAGGCAGCAGUGGGGAACUGGACAAUGGGGGCAAGCCUGAUCCAGCAAUGCCGCGUGGGUGAAGAAGGCCUUCGGGUGUAAAGCACUUUUGUCGGGGAAGAAGUCCUUGCGUUUAAUACCGUGGGGAAUGACGGUACCGGAAGAAUAAGCAUUCGCAAUUUUUG